rnacentral:rRNA from 1 species
AGUGAACGCUGGCGGUAGGCCUAACACAUGCAAGUCGAACGGCAGCACAGAGGAGCUUGCUCCUUGGGUGGCGAGUGGCGGACGGGUGAGGAAUACAUCGGAAUCUACUCUGUCGUGGGGGAUAACGUAGGGAAACUUACGCUAAUACCGCAUACGACCUACGGGUGAAAGCAGGGGAUCUUCGGACCUUGCGCGAUUGAAUGAGCCGAUGUCGGAUUAGCUAGUUGGCGGGGUAAAGGCCCACCAAGGCGACGAUCCGUAGCUGGUCUGAGAGGAUGAUCAGCCACACUGGAACUGAGACACGGUCCAGACUCCUACGGGAAGGCAGCAGUGGGGAAUAUUGGACAAUGGGCGCAAGCCUGAUCCAGCCAUACCGCGUGGGUGAAGAAGGCCUUCGGGUUGUAAAGCCCUUUUGUUGGGAAAGAAAUCCAUCUGGUUAAUACCCGGGUGGGAUGACGGUACCCAAAGAAUAAGCACCGGCUAACUUCGUGCCAGCCGCGGCUGUAA